GUUGCAAUCCCUUUUUGGCAGGACGUUUUUGUUAUUCAACUCUGCGCUCUUAUUUUUUAAUCUCGAUAGAAUUCUGUAUCGGAUAAUUUUUAUGGAGUUAUUCUAUUCUAAUAUGUACUCUAGAGCAAUAGAAAAAAUCCCAUAUUAGAGAACACAAGUUCGCAACAGUUAAUAAUCUCAGAUUGCACAACUGAUUUAAGAUCUUAAUUUACUGCUCCGUAUACAAAUAUGCCACAUCAAAGUUAUAAAUUCCGCUCGAAGUUUUCUUUGGUUCAUCUAGAUUUUAUAUUGAAAAAAACUACCUCGGCCCAUUGUGUUAGAUAAUAGAUGGCAUUGGCUUUUCUUUUUCAUCUGAGUUGAGUAAGAUCAUGAAAGCAUGUUGAUUCAUUUUCUGCUUUUGUUCUCUAUAAAAACACCAACUUUGCCUCUAUCGGACUUCAGUUCAGGUAGCUUGGUGUUAUUUUUGCCUGUUUGAAGGGGAACUAAAUUGAUUUUCUCCUGUUCUGUGCCAAUAUUCAGAACAAAUUUGACAGCUUUGCGAUUGCAGAGUUGCCUAACACCGAACCCAAGGGUGGACGCUCCUGCAAUACUGAAGUGUCUUGCAGCAGCAGUGAAAGAACGUGGAUUUGAUGGAACAAAUUAUGCUUUAGCGGGAUGCUAAACGAGAAGAGGUUGAGGACAGCCAGCCAGCCACAGCAGCUUCCGCCAGAAUCAGGAGCUGUGGAAAAGAUCACGAAAUGGACAGGAGAACGAGAAUCCUUCGGGACAGAGAUGAGUUGCGGGAUCGAAAAAAAAGAGUCGUGCACUUCCAGGUGAGCACAACGCUCUACUGAUGCCAAUCCGUGCCAUUCAUGCAUGGUUCGGUGGAAUUCAUUGUAUACACAGUAACAGGCCAUGUGAACAUUGUCAACGGAUAUAACCAAGUUGGAUCUGAUGACCAACAGAGAUUUAGGUGUAAGGAAGUCACUGCAGUGUAUAUACUGAAAAGUAAGAGCAGAUUAAUGAAGGUCAGGUAGUCUUGCUAUGGUCAAGCUAUGAUUGUUGUUUAUCAGUGUGGCAUUUCUCUAGAAACUAACUUAAUUGUCACUCAACCAUGCGAUGGCCUAUGGUCACAAAGGCAUCCGAUAGUUCUGUGGGCAGCUGACGACACAAAUGCUUCGGCUGUUGGGCUCUAAUCGCAGAAGGAAUUGGCGUGAUCACGAGCUAUACAUGCUAUGGAAUCUCAAAGAGGAGGAUAUAAGUAAGCUUUUGAGUAUACUCAUGUGGCAGCUAGGACUGUUCCAGCAAAUUGGCCACGAGAGGAGUAUAACAUGCUCUCUACAAAAGUUGUAGAAGACAUGUUUAUCAUCCUUUUAGCGAUCUUCAAUAAAUCGAAUGUUAGUUGGCGACCAUGUAAUGUUUAAUUCAUGAUGUGUGAGGAGACGGCCGCAUUGCGUAAAAUCAUAUGCCAUGAAGGGCCUUGGUUGUUCAUGUUUUGGAGCCAGUAAGAAGCUAUUUCUUUUUCUUCAUUAUAUAAUAAAUUUUCCUCAAAAAUAUCUCAAAUUUUUAACUGCCUUUUUGGUCCGAUACAUCUAUCACGCAGGCUUGGUUAUCUAAUCCUUAUCCGUAAAAAAAUAUCACACAAUAAGCACGUAGCUCCAUUAGAAGUUCUGUUAUGGAUAUUUGUCGAAAUAAUGUCGACUGAAUAAAAGAGGUAAACAUAUUUAAUUUCC